rnacentral:rRNA from 1 species
GUGCCAGCAGCCGCGGUAAGACAGAGGUUGCAAACGUUGUUCGGAAUUACUGGGCAUAAAGCGCACGUAGGCGGUUCGUUAAGUCAUGUGUGAAAUCCCUCGGCUCAACCGAGGAAUUGCGCCUGAUACUGGCGGGCUAGAGAUCGAUAGGGGUGAGUGGAACUCCAGGUGGAGCGGUGAAAUGCGUAGAUAUCUGGAGGAACACCGGUGGCGAAAGCGGCUCACUGGAUCGAUACUGACGCUGAGGUGCGAAAGCUAGGGUAGCAAACGGGAUUAGAUACCCCGGUAGUCC